GGGUCGAUGAUGAGAACACAUACUGUCUCGAAGAGAGAUGCUGACUUAAAAAUCAUGCUCAGUAGGAUUACUGAGGCCC